rnacentral:rRNA from 1 species
AUGCGAUGCGCUUAUCCAUCUCUCCUCCCAUCCCAUUGGCGUUGUGCGGCGGCGGCGGCUGGCGGCAGCGGCUGGGAUACUACAUCGGCCUCAAAGAGGAGCUCCCUCGGCAGCAGCCUUCAUUGUGAGCGACUCAUGUUCUCACCGGCCAACGGCCGACUGAAUGACCAGGUUUGUUUCCGGCGUGCGAGUCUCAUGUGUCAGUGUGUGAAAUCAGAUCAACAAGGCACUGAACUGAACGACCAUCUUCUGCCGAUUUCUACGUGGCUGGAAUCGGGUGGCCAUUGCCUUCCGCAUCGCCAACACCAGAGUGCCAUAAUGGAACCCAGUUCUUACUGGUAG